CUCCCUCUUUACCAAUUUCAUUCUUCUCCCUCCCACACCUCUUUUCCCUAAUUUCAAUCUCCCUCCAUCAUCUCCAAAACCCUAAAACGAAAAUACUUCCUCAAUCUCAGUUUCCCCCCCAAAUCUGAAACCUAAAUUUCAAUCUCACUAACCCUAAUGGCUCAAUCUCACUAACGAAAUCUUCACUCAAUCGGUUCCUCACUCAUGGCAUAAAUCGAAGCACCUUCACUGUUCAUCAUCUUCUUUCCAUCGCUGCUUCCAUCACCAAUCGCUACUUCCAUCAUUAAUCGCUACUUCCAUCGUUUGAUGCACCAAUCGAUAUCUUUCUUUUCUCUCUCAACUCCUCUAUCAUCUUUUCUAAUGAAUUAGUCCAACAAACCUGCCAGACCCAAUUCCAGGGAGCAGCCAAUGCAAUCAAACUUAAGAGCGAAAAGAAAAAAAAAACUCACAUAAAGAAGACUUUGUGAAAAAAACUUCCAUCGCUGCUUCCAUCACCAAUCGCUACUUCCAUCAUCAAUCGCUACUUCCAUCGUUUGAUGCACCAAUCGGAUGGAAUCAGUUUAACUGAUAGCGACGGUUCAAGAAGACCGAACAUAUGACGACGACAAUGAUGAUGAUGAGGACGAGGACGAGGAGACGGAUGAUGAUCAUAACGAGUAAUUUAUAUUCUUUUCAAUUGCUGUUUUUUGGUUAGGGAUUUUUGGGUGUUUUAGGUGGUUACUGUCAAAGAAAAUAUUGAACUUGCAUAUAUGAAUUUUGUUUUAUGUAAUUAUUUAUCAACAUGACAUGUUUUGUAGGAAACAAAUUAUCAAAAAAUUUGGGUUAUUUUCAAAUUUUGGC
rnacentral:lncRNA from 1 species